UAUAAUCUACAGAGCUUCUCACUCAAUUAUUGCUCUGCUUCUAACCGAGCUAAGCACACUACUCUAACAGGUAAGUCUCUCUCCAUUUCCGUUCCUGCUUUCUCUCUCCCUUUCUUUCCAGGCUCACGCGCAUGUCUCUCUGAUACUCCUGAUUCUUCUUAGGCUCAUAAAUCUCUUAUAUGUCAUGUCUUCAUUUUCUUUCCUUUCAAACAAUCCUCCUUUACGCUGUUCCAGAGAAGGCAUCAUUCAACAGUACAGAAAUCUCGCAAGAAAGCUUUCUCGUGGUUGCUUGUUAAUUUGUCCUUACAAGUUAUCCAAAAUUAAAAAAAAAAAAAAAGGAGACUUCCAACCAGUGUUGAAAUCUCCCAAAAAAAAAAUUAAGGUUAGUAUAUGUUUCGAUUCUAUUUGUUUUUGUUACUCAUUGUCAGUUGGUUUAUGUUUAAUUUGAAUUAUUCGAUUUUCUCACGUAGUGGGUGUAGUAGAUAGCACCCAAAAAAAAAAAAAAACUAAUGCACUAAAAUGAAAAACCAAAAUUUAAGUUGCAUGACAUAUUAACUUUCAAUUACAUAAACUAAUUACAAAAAAGAAUGACACUUAAAUUCUAAAAAAUAUCAAUUUUAUACCAAUUACUCCCUCCAAUUUUUAUUAUAAAACACUUUCAAUUUUUAUGCAUAUUAAGAAAAAAAAUUUAAUAUCAUAAAAAAGUGAGAUAUACUCUCAUUUUUAUUCUUGAUUUUAAAUAAUAAUAUAAUUAUAUUAAAUAUUUUAUUGCUAAUCAAGAAGGGAUUAAAUUGAAAAAAGUAGUUUAAUUAUUAUAAGAUGUCAUAUAUUUUAGACCAAAAAUUACUUUUAAAAAAUGUCUUAUAAAUAAGACCAAAGGGAGUAAGUCUUAAUAAAUUUUAUUAAAAAAUGAGUUGAAAAUAUUUAUUCAUAUUGAGCUGCAAAUGUGAGAAAAAUUAUUAUGAGUGACUUAUGAGACUAAAAUGUUGAAUUUGCAUUCAUCACUCUGUCUGUGUCUCGUACUGUUCAAAUUUAUAUUUGUAAUCUAUUUUUUAAAUAAGUUUAUAGUGAUUCAACUAUAAUUAAAUUAAUCUUUUACACCCUAGUGUUAUCCUCCCAAAAUAAAUAAAACAACAAAAUGACUAGAAAUUUGAACUGCCAACCGUGCUAACAAAUACUCAUUCCGUUUAAAAAUAUAAGGCAUUUUUAAUCGAAUCUUACCAUUCAAUAAAGUUAUUACCUACUUUCAAAUUAAUUUUAUCUUUCUAUAUUCACCUCUAUUAAAUACCUAAAAAUAAAUAUAAAGUUAUUAUUAAUAGGGGCACUUUUAAAAAAAGGCAAUGAUUACACUUCGAAAGAUUAAAAAUGCCUUACAUUUUUCAAUAUCCGACUUCUCAAAAAAUGUCUUAUUGUUCAUAUGCAUAUAUACCAUAUCUUUUGCGUAAUUGAAAAGGGAAAAUUCCAAUCACGUCCCACACAAGAAAUUAAUUAUUGCAAUGUUUCUUGAUAAUUGAAAAUGCAGUUUAGUUUAGUUGGUAAUGGAUCUUGCAGUAAUUAAUUUUUUUAUGUGGACUUCAAGGUAAUUCUUCCGAAUAAAAACUGUUACUUAUGGAAUACCAAAAAACAAAAGAAAAAAAAAAGCUGUUACUUGUAAUUUAAUAAUUUGUGCACUUUCAAUUUCGUAUUCGUUUUUUGGCUGUUGUCAUCUUUUGCGAGUUUGAAGGCAAGAAAAAAGGAAGGAAAGAAAGAAAAAACAGAGAGGUUUUUCUCUGUCGCGAGUUAUCAUCAAUCAGAGUUCAAAUCUCAGGAAAAACAAAACAAAACAAAAGAAGUGGUAAAUAUCCAUUUAAUUCAAGUGAUUUUCCUCCUCUUUGUGUGUGCGCGUGUGCGGCUUCUUUUAAUUACUUUUAAUUACUAUUUAUUAUCUUUUUCAUCAGUUUCAAUUUCUUGGAGUAAAAUAUCAUUGAGUACUGUGGAUGAAAGAAAAUAAUGCUCUCCUUCCUGCCUUUAUUAUAAAACACUCCAAUCAUUUUACGUAUUUUAAAAAAAUUAAUUUUUUUAUUAAUAUAUUUUUAUUUUUAUCUUUAACUUUAAAUAAUAAUACAAUUAUAUUAAAUACCUUUACAUUAAUUAAGAAUGAAUAAAAUUAAAAAAAGUAAUUUAACUAUUAUAAAAUAUCUUAUAUUUUGAAUAAAAAAUUACUUUUAAAAAAUAUCUUGUAAAUAAGAUAGAAAGAAAUAUCUUCUAUUCCAGCUGGGAUAGAAUCCAAUCUCCAUUAUGAUUUAAGACUUAAAAGUCGACUUCUAACCAACCAAUGUUGUCAUAAUCGAAUGAAGCACUGGUCCGUUAAAAUAUAGUUGGACUAAGGGCUGGUUUCUGGUUUGAUUGAUUGAACCGGCCAAUCCAAACGCCUAAAUGCAAUUCAACUCAGCCUGAAACCAUUUUAAGAAAUAUUUAAAAUAUCUUUUAAGAAAAAAUAUAACUACUAUCAUUUAAAAUAUAAUUUUUUACAACCUAAAAUAUUUUUCUAUAAAACUAAUAUUAAGAUAAAAAAUAAUUAUUUUAAAAUUAUAUAUGCUUAAUAAUUAACAAUUAUUUUUGCACUUGUAUCAUUGUUAAUUACAUUAAUGCAUUGGGAGUCCUGGACAAAUAUUUAUAACUGAUGACAUUAAAAAAUAUAUCAAAAUUUUCUAUUCAUAAAAGCUGUCAUUAAACUUAAUUAAAGCUUUUUUCAAAUUAUUAAUUUGUUAAAGAAUUAAGUUAAAUAAAAAAACGUAAAAUUUGAUAGCCGACUUUAACUAUUACAGUUCACUGAUAUAUGCAUGUGUAUUAUUUUAUACCUCUUUGGCCACUAUUAUAGUCGCUUCUGAUUAAUCAUUUCUGUGCUGUAGUAUUCGUCUAUUUGAUUUUUUUCUUAAACCUUUUUUACAGUUUUAUCUUCGUUGAUUGCUUUUAGUUUUCCGCAAAUUCUAUAAAAAUCCAAAAAAAAGAAAGAAAAAUCUGAACAAAAUGGAGGUUUCCUUGCCGAAGGCAUCAUCGAAGAAAGUUCAAAAUCCUCCAGAAAAACAAAAGGUAGUAAGUAUACAUUUUUUAUGAUUUAUUAUUUUUGUGCUUACAUUGCCAUAUUUGUCAUUUGAUCGUAGUAUAUAGUUUCAGCUUCUUGUCCUUGACUUACCAUAUUACAUUAAAAUUACAUUUGGAUGAGUGAAUUUGGAUUUAAAAUUUUACAUUUAAAAUUUAUAGAUUUUAAAUUCUAUGUUUAGAUGAUAUAAAAAGUUUUAAAUUAUAAUAUUAAAAUUUUUUGUUUGGAUCUUCACUAAAAUUCUAAAUUUUAAAUUUCAUGUUUAAAUUUAAAGCAACUCGGACAACGUCGACAGUCUAGUCCUAGUCAAAAUCGGCAAUUUGGAUGAUUGACUUUUACCAAGAUCAAAGAGCCGAUGUCUAGCAGGAUUGAACAAUAGACUUCCAACGAGACCAUACGCCAAUGAUAACUAGGACCAAAUGGCAGACUUCUACCAAGACUAAACUGUUAGCAUCGACCUGGGCCUGACUGUUGACUGGGACUAGAGUGCAAGCAAAGACUAGGUCGAGGUCACUAGUUCGGUCUCAUUCGAAGUUGUCAGUUUCGAUCAUGAUGGGAUCUAGCUGUCCAAUCUCGAUCACAAAAUGUUCUUUAGUCCUGGUCGGUGCCGGCAAUUUGGUCACGAUGGAAGUUAGCCUUGUGGUCCUAGCUGUCACUUGUACUUCAGCCCUGGUCGGCUCCGUUGGUUAAGCCUCAGCGGAAGUCAGCCUUCUGAUCAUUAUCGUCACAUAUAUUACAGUCUGGGUUGUCACCAAUGGUCCAGUGUCGAUUGGUGUAGGUAGUUCGAUCCCAAUAGAAGUCAAUCGUCUAGUCUUGGUUGGUCCUGGCCAUCCAUUGUUGAUCGAUGGUGACAACCCUGUCCCGAUCAGUAGUGGUGGGUGGUCUAGUCCUGGUUGCCACUGGCAAUCUGGUUUUGUUUGGAGUUACCAAACGACCAGUCAAAUUAUAAAGAGAUUGAGGUAAGAUUUGAAAUAAUAGGGUUUUAGAAAGAAUUUUAAAUUACAAAGAGAUUGAAGUAGAAUUUGAAUUUAAAAGUUAAAUCCAAAUUCAUAUAUUUCUAAUUUCCCAAACAAUUGAUUAAAAAUUUAUGAUUCCAUAUUUCUUAAGAAUUUUAUGCUUUACACUAUCCAUUCCAAAUUAAAAAUUUACUAUUUUUUAAAAAAAUUUCUCCCUCUUAUUUUCUUCUCACUUUUUCCUUGCUUCAAACUAAGAAAAAUUGAAGAUCUUAUGUAAGGUUUCCAUUACUAAUCUUCAUUUAACUCCUAAACCCAAGUAAUCAAGGUGUUAACCCUAAAGGAUUAUCCAAUUGUACAAUCCAGUACUAAGUUGUAAAUUUCAACAAUGGGAAUCCCAAGUUUUUAUGGUUUAAAAACACUUUACAACAUUUUCACUAUUCAUAAAUUAGGGUUUAAAACUUAUGCGAAAGUAUAGGAUCCUAAACAAGUCAAUGCAAUUGCAAAAUAGUUGAAAACAACAAAAUAGUGCAGCAUAACAGAGGUGCGUCGUGGCUCACUAUAGACACACUAUGGCUGGUUGCUUUUGUGUAUGCGUCGUAACAUAUUACACAAAUUUUGACAACAUAGAGUUGUCACAUGACAGCUUCUAGGGCAAACUUCCGAUGCACCUUAUUUCUCCAUUUGACAUCCAACUGUGAUGAUUUAGGUGUUUAUAGAGAGCUUUCUUUUAACUCUAGUUAAUAGUACUAAUUUCACGAUCAAAUUAUUUUUCAAUCAAAAGUCAGACAUCUGUUUCAAAACUCACUCCUUUUCACUUAGAUUCACAACUAGGGUGCCUAAACCAUAAUUCAAGUGUCAAAAAUUAUACCAACCUUCAGACUACACUCAAAUGAUAGUAUAGGACUCAUGCAACAUACUACACAUAUCACUUUUUCGAAGCUCAACCCCUUGAUUACAAAACAAGAGGGAGAGCCCAAUUUUCAUAAAUCAAUAUAUAUAUAUAUAAACUUCUUCCUCUACUCAAAAAUAUAAGGCAUUUUUAAGUGAAUCUCACCCCCUAAUAAAGUAGUUACUUACUUUCAAACUAAUCCUAUCUUUUUAUACUUACCCUUAUUAAACACCCUAUAAUAAAUAUAAAGUCACUAUUAAUAGGGGCACUUUUGAAAAAAUGUUAAUGAUUACACUUCAAAAGACUAAAAAUACCUUACGUUUUUUAACAUCCAAUUCCUCAAAAAAUGUCUUACAUUUUUGAACGAAGAGAGUACAUAAUAUUCAUUCAUUUACAUUUAUCUCUACUUGUACUAGUAUUUUGAUCUUAUUUAUCCUUUACCACAUCACAAACAUUCCAAGGCGCGAAAUACGCAUUUAGUUUAUUUUUAACAAUAGUGCAAGUAGCUAAAAAUUAAUUAUAUGUAAACUUUCAAUGCGUCUCCUCAAGUUUAGAUAUUGCCAAUUUUAGGUUAAUUUAUAAUUCAACCAUAAGAAUAAAUAUUAAUAUUUUUGUUUAAAUAAUUUUCACACUUAAAAAAAAAAAUAGUGUACCUGUGACUUUUUUUCCUGGCAUUUAUAGAAAACACUGCCGAGUAACGCAAUAACUGUGUAUCUUGAGGAAAAGAAAACACCCUUCAGGCAGCGUUUCGCUCAAGGAACGCCACUACAGGGCACAUUUGCUUUCCCUUUCCUUUCCUUUCCUUUCCUUUUUCUUUUUCUUUUUCUUUUUCUUUUGCUUUGUUUUGUGUUUUGUGUUUUUUUGUUUUUUGGGAUAGUUUUUCCUUUCUUUUUCUUUUUCUUUUUUUGUUUUAUCAUAAAGCAUCGUGCCUUUCAAACCCUUCCUUUAGCUAAUAAAGAAGAUUGCUCGAAUUAAAAAAAAAAAAAAAACAAACGAAUAGAAUAAUUAAUGUCAUCAUCUUCUAUCAACUCCACCCUUCCAUCAUUUUCACGAUUUGGAAUUGGCAACUUCAUUCAAGAAAAUUAAAAGUCUGAACCUUAUGAUAAAACUAAAAAAAAUUAUGAUAAAAUUAAAAGUUUAAAUGUAAGUGAAGAUAAUAUCUCAUGGUUGAUAAAAUUAAAAGCUUCAUAUCUAAUUUUGACAAUUUAAAAUUUUUAUUAUUUUUUAUUUUAGGAGUAAUAAAAAAUAAAAAUAACAUGUUAACAAUCAAUUUCAUAAAAAAAUUUAUUUAUAAAAAUAAAUAUAAAAAAUAAUAAGAUUUAAAUGGUCUGAAUCAAAUGCUAACAAAGAUCAGUUCACAAAAUAGUCUUCGACCGAGAAAAACAAAAGCAAAAUAGUCACUGUACAUGUUAGCUUUGAUAACACUCAGCUCGAAGAAUUGAAAUUAGACACUAGAUAAUGGCCCACAAAAAUGCAAAGAAAGAAUGUCACCAAAGAAAUAAUUAUUCUUGAUGGUGAAAAUUCGAUGUAUAAAGGAACAAACUUUAUAUGUUGUUUUACUUUUUGGAACACCUUUAUUUUGUUUUCCAUGACCCUAUGGAUUUAAAUUAAUAGAGAUGGCCAACAUAAUAAUUGAGAGUUGUCCCUCUGGCCACGUCUAUAAAACUUGGAAAACAUAAUAAUUUAGGGAGAGUUGUAAUAUACAUUUUUCAUCUCAAAUUAUAGAAUAAUUUUAUAAAAAAUUUAACAUCUCAAAAUAUAAAAUAUUUUGAUAAAAAUAAAUUUUUAUUAAUGAUUUUGUUUAAGAUUAUCCUUCUCAUUAUAUUCUCUCUCUUUAAUUUUUUUUUUAUAAAUGAAGGCUAUUUUUAAAAGUUUAUAUUUUUAUUUUGAACAAAAAAAUUAUAAAUUUUAUUUAAUAAACUUUAUUGGUAUGCAUAAUUUUAUCUAGAAAAUAUCUUAUAAUUUGAGUUUGUCUUAAAUAUAGGAGUUAAUUGGCUGUUUAAUUAGGUCCUUAAUUUAUCUCUUAUAUUUAUUAUUUUUUCCAAAUAUCAUAUAAUUAGAUUCUUAUAUGAUGCAUAAACAUUGUUGAUGAUAUUUUAAUGUAAAUGAUUAAAAGCAGGAAUAUUUUAGAAAGAAAAUUUAAUACAUAAUUUUUUUUUAAGAUAACUAACCAAUAUAAGUCUAUAAAUAUGCGUGAAUUAGUUAACCAACUCCUAUAUUUAGAUGGAAGGAAGUAAUAUACUAAAAUAAAUCUCUUAACUAAUGGUUUUAAUUAAAAUAUUAAAUUUCCAAUUUAUAUUAAUAAAGAUAGAUUUAAAAGAAUAACAGUAAAAAUAAAACAAGAUUUUAAAUUAAGUAACAAUAAUAAAUGACAUUUUUAAAUCAAGCUCACAUGGAAAAACCCGCAUUGGAUAUUUUGGAUUCCAGUGCAUGGCAGAUCGAUGAGGUCACGUGGGUGAUGUGAAAUUCACAUUGGGAGAUUUGGUCCGUGAAAUUAUAUUCACUAUCUCUGCAUUCCAAUGAUCCAGAAACUCGAGUUUCUUUUAUUUCCAAGUCGCCCCGCCCUUGUCUCUUUGGUCUUCUUCAAAUCUACAGUUGUGAAUACUGUAUUUUAUUUAAAUAUUUUUAAAAUUUAAUAAAAAUAAUAAUAAAUAAUUAAAAAAUAUAUAAAAAUAUAAAAAUAAAAUUUAAUCCUUUUUAAGAUUACAUUUUCAAAACAAAAAAAAUAUUUAAUUAAUAGAAUUUAAUUUUAUUUUAACCUAGAUACUUUUUAUUGGUUAAGAUUUUAUUCUAGUUCAUUAAAAUAAUAAAAAAUAUAAAAAAUACAAAAAUAAAAUUUAAUUCUUUUUAGAAUUAUAUUUUAAAAGAUAUAUAUAAUUUAAUAAAAUAAAAAAAUAUAUCUUGCUUAAAUUUUUGAAAAAUCUCUAUCAAAUUAUUCUAACCAUUCAAAAUAUUGAGGAUUAACUUUUGAGAGUUAAUUCUUUUAAAUUAAUUUUAAAAAUAAAAAGAAGUAUUGAAAAAAAAAGUAAAUGGGCUGGAUGAAACAUUGAAUUGUCAGCAUUUCACCCAUAGCCCAAAAAGAGGCUUUCACCCAGCCCUCCCCGCGCGAGCUAUUGAGAAAAAAAAAAGGGUAGAGAAGAUCGACGAAAAGCAGAAGAAGAAACCCAGAGAAAACGCCAGACUUAACGCAAAAGAUGCAAACACACACACAAAAAGCUAGAAGCAGAGAGCAGACUCACUUGUGACUGAGAAGAGCAUAGCAGAUGCACACACAGACACUUUCAACGCGGGCAGAUAGAAGAGGCGUGCACGGCAAGAGGAAGACCAGGUAUUUUUACUUCGACUAAGAAGACGGAAAGGGGAAAGCGAGAAAGAGACCGAGAGGGGAAGAAGGCUGAAUCUGGGUUUUAGGAGAGGCUUUGAGCAAGAGAGACAGGAGGGAGAACCGAGAGUCAAGAGAGAUUGAGCGAUCUGGAGAAAGAGGAGGGACCGGAGGUCUGAAAGGGGAUCGAGGAUGAAAAAAAGACCAGAGGAGACCGAGAGAGAUUUUGCUUCUAUUUGGGGAGAGAACGCGAGAAGGAGGGAGGAAGAACAGAGGAGACUGAGAUUAGAGUUGGAGAGAUUUUUGGCAAGGAUUUUUGAAAAGAGCUGGGUUUUAUUUUUUUUUUAGAGUGAUCAAAAAGAGAGAGGACCGAGAGUUGAGAGAGAUUUUUCUAGAGAUUUUUUGAAGAAAGACAGAAGAGGCAGAGAAGAGCUAUUGAGAAAAAAAGAUUGAGCAUUUGAAGAAAAGAGACAACACAAAACAGAAAGGAAAGGAGUCGGGCGAAUAAGACAGAGGAAGAGCUGAGUUUUAAGUUGCUGAGUUCAUUGCACAAUGCUCAAGGUGUCCUUCCAUAUCACCAUCCUUUAAAAAGACAUCCUAUCAAUGGAUAUAUAUAUAUAUAUAUAUAUCGCCAGCUGUAAGCAUACAUUAGUUUUAAUUUAAAUAAUGACAGAAGGCAGCUCGCAAUCUACUGGUGAGAUGCCCCUGCUAGUACAUUGCACUUCUCUGCAUAAAUCAAAAACAUGUUCAAAAACAACAAUUUAAAAAAACAAUCAAGAUAUAGGGGAGAAAAUUCAAUAUAAUAAAUAUAAAUGUUAGAUGGUAAUACUCUAACUUACUUUGGCUGGACUCUAGUUAAAUAACAAAUCCCUCAAGUAUAAAAAGAUCUGAGCUCUUUGUGGAAAGAUCAUUUGAACCCUUCUACAAUUGAUGGACACAAUGAAACAUACAGAUAGGAUAAGGAACCACACAUUAUGAUUUAUAAAACUCAACUGUUUUAAUAAGCGUAGGAAACCAUAAAUUAACUACAAACAUUCUUUCUCUUCAUCUUUAACUCCGUUCAGUCUACUGCUUCUAAAUAUUAUGGAUAUCCAGCACUAAUCUCAACCUAAAAGGGAGAGAAAUCAUUUAUAAGAAGCCAUCUGAUGCUCCAUACAACAAAUCAAGUGUUAAACUAAUAAAAAAAGUUAGAAAUCAUAAUAAAAAAAUGAAGAGAAGAAAGGACAAGGACAGUUCAGGCAAAGCUAAUAAAAUAGAGCUGUGAUAUUUGAGGGUGAAGACAAGAUUCUAAUGAUGCCAUGGUGGCCACUCAAUUUGAAAUUCAAAUUCAAACUAUUAAUAAUGAAUUGGUCACGUGUCAGAAGGAAAGUACUACAAUGAGGAUGUGUGCAAUGGGAGUGUCAGUGGAAGUAAGUAAUAGACACAAAGAUAGUUUUUUAGGAGCCAAAAGGAAACUACUACUGUGUAAUAGAAAAUAAUUGAUAGAUAAAGGAUAAAACCUUAAUGUCUUAUGUUCCAUCGAAUUAUAUAUGAUAUAGGGACUGAUAAAAAACAGCAAGCACAUUUCAUACUUCAGUGCACAACACUGAAAGUGUCCUUUUAUACCUAUACCCUAACAACCGUGUCCCAUCAUACUUAAUAAAUAUGAAACUUUUAUCAAUACACUGAGUAACCAUAGGUGUAAAGCUAAUCCUGUAGACUUAUAUCGGUCAAUCAAAAGAUUAUUCAUAAUCUAUAAAUAACAAAAUCACAAAAGCAAUGCUUUUUAAGAUAUGUUUUCACAAUGUCCCAUGACUCUAAAAAGCAACGUGAUAGCAAGUCUACUAUAAGAGCUCCAGACUAAAAGAAAUAACAUAUUAACCAUUCACCAUGCCCUUUUUUUAUUGAUGCAUCAAGGGAUCAUAUUCACUUAAUGUCAGUCUCACAUAAUUUUAUUUCAUUAUUUCUUGAUCAUUCACCACAAAGUUAAAUUAACAAUUUCACAUUAUAUUAUUAACACUCCUCGUUCAUAACCAAUUCACUAACAGGUCCUCAUGAUUCACCUGAUUCUUCACAUCUAAAUUGUAGCAACCGGUUAUGGAGAAAUGGGUCAUGUCAACAAAAAAAGAAGACUGAAAAAGAAAAAAAAACAGGAUAAAUAAUUGAUGAAUAACUAAAAAAAAGAUAUAAGAGAAAGAAAAAGAAAAUAAAAGAUUAAACCAAAUAUUAUAUUUUCUUUGUAGAGGGUAGUUAGUGACAGGCUAAUUUUCAAACUUUUUGCUAAAAAUCAUGUGGGAAGAAUGGAUUACUUAAAGUCAAAUGUGAUAGGACCAAAUGGUGAGGAAAAAAGGCAAAAGUUAUGUAAAUAACUUGUCAAACAAAUAUAAGUCUGCCUUAUUGACACUGCUACAAUAAGAAGACAUAUGGUAUAACUGGAAAAUAAUGAUAGUAAUGUAUAGGCAACCUGUCGGUCAUAACAAAUAAAGGAUUAAGAAUGAUUUUGAAAUAGUUGAGGUUUGAGAGAUGGACAGAAUUCCAACAUCUAAAGGCAGAGCCAUAAACAGUUGAAUUAUAUGAAUCCCUACUCUUUAUAGUGCCAUUACAAGAAAGCAUUCCAUGAGAUGUAACUUAGUAUUUCACCUUUUCUGAGACUUUAUUGUUACUGCCAUUUAGCAGCUCAGGAACCAUUUAAGGUAGUGUAUAUGAAUAUUGAGCAUUUGAAAAGGGAUCUUCAACUCUUCAACAUUUGAAAUCCAUGUUCUAGCUCCUUCCCCCCCACACACAGUAGCUACCACACAAAUAAAUAGAAGAUUGAAGAAGAAAAAACAGGGUAAAUAACUAAUGAUUAAGCCUAAAAAAAAGUUAAAAGAGAAAGAAAAAGAAAAUAAAAGAAGCCUUUGAACAUGUUCUUACUCCAUGUGGUGUUAGUUCAGUUGUUAUUAUUCUUCUUCAUCACCGCUGUGCUUGUGGGUCUGCAGGGAGUCGAUGCUUUAAACAUAUUAAGCACCACCAAUCCCAUCUUCAUUAGUUCUAGGUCACCGUUGUUGAACUCAAUUAUUCCUUUUGCAUCACUGAGCUCAUGGAGAGGACUGGUGAUAAAGAUAAAGAAACUUAACAGACAAUUAAAAUGAUGGCAGAGAAAUGGGAUGAGAUGUAGAAGGAAAGAUGAGAUGAGGUAGACAGAGAAAAGGCAGCCCAUACCUACGGUAAAGGAAGAGGUGGUCAGAGGAAUCAGAGGAUCUGUGGCUUGGCGGAAGCGGUGGUUGGAGUCGGAAGAAUUGGAGAACCUUUCCUCAAAUGUGAGUUGAGUGAUUGAGCUUACAGGAGAAGUAAGGAUGCCGAGACAGAGCAAAUGGUUAGGAAAACAAAUGAGUCUGGUUUAUUGUGGUUGAGCGAUUAAGCUUAUAGGAGAAGUCAAAAGCUAGGUACUGUUGCCCUCUGAAAAAUGAAGAUAAUGCAGUACAAAAUAGGCAGGGAAGUCUUAUAAAAAAUCUUCUCCUAGAUCCAUGUAUUAAUUAAACCUCCCCUUAAGCCGUGCGUUGAUGGCGUGAAGUUGACACUGUAGCUAAAGCCGAGUACUGUUCAUAGAGCUGAUGAACAAUGUUUAGUGUCUGGAGUCGUGUUUUAAGAGCGGCUUGCCUGCAAUAGAUUUGUUAUUAAGAUUGAUUUUAUUAAUGCUUUCA